GCCCCCAUGGUGUAGUGGUUUAUCACGCAGCUCUUAUAAUGCUGAGGUCGCGAGUUCAAUCCUCGCUGGGGGCA